rnacentral:rRNA from 1 species
UACGGGGGGGGCAAGCGUUGUUCGGAAUUACUGGGCGUAAAGGGCUCGUAGGCGGCCAACUAAGUCAGACGUGAAAUCCCUCGGCUUAACCGGAGAACUGCGUCUGAUACUGGAUGGCUAGAGGUUGGGAGAGGGAUGCGGAAUUCCAGGUGUAGCGGUGAAAUGCGUAGAUAUCUGGAGGAACACCGGUGGCGAAGGCGGCAUCCUGGACCAAUUCUGACGCUGAGGAGCGAAAGCCAGGGGAGCAAACGGG